ACGGGUGAGUAACGCGUAUGUAACUUGCCUACAGAGGGGAUAGCCGNAAAGUCGGAUUAAUACCGCAUAAAACAGGGGUUCCGCAUGGAAAUAUUUGUUAAAGGAUUACCGCUGGUAGAUAGGCAUGCGUUCCAUUAGAUAGUUGGUGAGGUAACGGCUCACCAAGUCGACGAUGGAUAGGGGUUCUGAGAGGAAGGUCCCCCACAUUGGUACUGAGACACGGACCAAACUCCUACGGGAGGCAGCAGUGAGGAAUAUUGGUCAAUGGGCGAGAGCCUGAACCAGCCAAGUCGCGUGAAGGAUGAAGGAUCUAUGGUUUGUAAACUUCUUUUAUACGGGAAUAAAGUGUGGUACGUGUACCAUUUUGUAUGUACCGUAUGAAUAAGCAUCGGCUAACUCCGUG
rnacentral:rRNA from 1 species